GACGAACGCUGGCGGCGUGCUUAACACAUGCAAGUCGAACGGUGAAGCUCCAGCUUGCUGGAGUGGAUCAGUGGCGAACGGGUGAGUAACACGUGAGCAACCUGCCCCUGACUCUGGAAUAAGCGCUGGAAACGGCGUCUAAUACUGGAUACGAGAAGGGUCCGCAUGGGCACUUUCUGGAAAGUUUUUCGGUUGGGGAUGGGCCCGCGGCCUAUCAGCUUGUUGGUGAGGUAAUGGCUCACCAAGGCGACGACGGGUAGCCGGCCUGAGAGGGCGACCGGCCACACUGGGACUGAGACACGGCCCAGACUCCUACGGGAGGCAGCAGUGGGGAAUAUUGCACAAUGGGCGAAAGCCUGAUGCAGCGACGCCGCGUGAGGGAUGACGGCCUUCGGGUUGUAAACCUCUUUCAGCAGGGAAGAAGCGAAAGUGACGGUACCUGCAGAAGAAGCACCGGCUAACUACGUG
rnacentral:rRNA from 1 species